rnacentral:rRNA from 1 species
GACGAACGCUGGCGGCGUGCUUAACACAUGCAAGUCGAACGGAAAGGCCUGCUUUCCCUUGUGGAUUGCGGGUACUCGAGUGGCGAACGGGUGAGUAACACGUGAGUGAUCUGCCCCCAACUUGGGUAUAAGCCUGGGAAACUGGGUCUAAUUCCCGAUAGGACUGCAGGGUAGUGCCUGUGGUGGAAAACGAUUUUCUAGUGGUUGGGGAUGAGCUCGCGGCCUAUCAGCUUGUUGGUGGGGUAAUGGCCUACCAAGGCGGCGACGGGUAGCCGGCCUGAGAGGGUGGACGGCCACAUUGGGACUGAGAUACGGCCCAGACUCCUACGGGAGGCAGCAGUGGGGAAUAUUGCACGAUGGGCGGAAGCCUGAUGCAGCGACGCCGCGUGGGGGAUGACGGCCUUCGGGUUGUAAACUCCUUUCGACCGCGAGGAAGCCACCUGGUUGGAAGGGUGGUGACGGUAGUGGUAGAAGAAGCACCGGCUAACUACGUG